UUUUUUUCUUGAUUUUUGAUAAAGGUGAAGAAGAAUAUUUCAGGAUUUAUAUGUGGUCUAUGUUGAAACUAAGAUUAUGUAAUAGUAAUGCAGAUUUUGUUUUAUCAUGUUGUCGGAAAAAAUCUCAAUACGGUAAAUCAUAUGGUUGGUCGCCUUAUGCAAAAAUACAUUAAUACGAAUUGCAUAAUUUUAUAAGUUUUCUCUUUCAAAAAAAAAACAAAUUGGG
rnacentral:lncRNA from 1 species